CCUACGGGUGGCUGCAGUGGGGAAUAUUGGACAAUGGGCGAAAGCCUGAUCCAGCCAUGCCGCGUGUGUGAAGAAGGCCUUCGGGUUGUAAAGCACUUUCAGUGGGGAAGAAAGCCUUGGGGCUAAUACCCUCGAGGAAGGACAUCACCCACAGAAGAAGCACCGGCUAACUCCGUGCCAGCAGCCGCGGUAAUACGGAGGGUGCGAGCGUUAAUCGGAAUUACUGGGCGUAAAGCGCGCGUAGGCGGUCUGAUAAGCCGGUUGUGAAAGCCCCGGGCUCAACCUGGGAACGGCAUCCGGAACUGUCAGGCUAGGGGGCAGGAGAGGAAGGUAGAAUUCCCGGUGUAGCGGUGAAAUGCGUAGAGAUCGGGAGGAAUACCAGUGGCGAAGGCGGCCUUCUGGACUGACACUGACGCUGAGGUGCGAAAGCGUGGGUAGCAAACAGGAUUAGAUACCCCGGUAGUC
rnacentral:rRNA from 1 species